rnacentral:tRNA from 1 species
GGGCCCGUAGCUCAGCCUGGUUAGAGCGCUAGGCUCAUAACCUAGUGGUCGUGGGUUCAAAUCCCUCCGGGCCCA